rnacentral:rRNA from 1 species
UACGUAGGGGGCUAGCGUUGUCCGGAAUCAUUGGGCGUAAAGGGUGCGUAGGUGGCGCGCUAAGUCGGGUGUGAAAGUUUCGGACGCUUAACCUCCGAAACAUGCAUUCGGAUACUGGCGUGCUUGGAGGACUGGAGAGGAGACUGGAAUUCAUGGUGUAGCAGUGAAAUGCGUAGAGAUCAUGAGGAAGACCAGUGGCGAAGGCGGGUCUCUGGACAGUUCCUGACACUGAGACACGAAGGCCAGGGGAGCAAACGGG